CAGUGAGCAGUUUACUUCUUGCUGAGCACAUUGUAAGUGGGAAUUUCCUGGCUUCUCUACACACAAUCUGCCAAACAAUGAAGAUCAUGGGAAGAAGCCAAACAGUAAGACCUUUCUUUCCUUAAAAGAAACAAUCUCAAAAUAUUACUUCAAUAAUUGCCCUUUCGUAGCUGAGGAUAAGAUGCUUCAGGAACUGAUGGCACCAAGAUCAUGUGGGAGGGGAUGACUGGAUGCCAACCUCGCCCAGCAUCUCCAGCAUAUAAGGGUAACCUUUUGGAUCUCCCUACCUCUGUUGCAACAUAUCAUUUGGGGAGCAAACAUUCAGACUCUAGACUGAUGCAUGGCCAAUGGCAGAAGCUCCUCUAAAUCUUCAUUGACAUUCCAAGAGGCCAGCUUGCAGGGUAAGAGCUAAGUGAGACACCUCUUCAGACAUUUUGGAAACAAAUAUUAGAUUAGUGAUGGUACUGUUAUUAGAGCCCAAGAUGAGAUUUCUUCCACUCUGGAAAUGAAACAAACUAAAGGAAAAAAAAAUCCAAAUAUAAUUUAUUGACACAAAAGGGACAAUUGAAUUAGUAAGACUAGGCAAGGACUCAAAGGUAAAUCAGAGCAUGAAUCCCAUAGGCACAGGAUCAGAUGAAAUGUUUUUUAAGCCUUUCAAACUUCUGAAUUUUGCUGCUCUUGAAAUGCAGUUGAAGAAAUGGAAAAAGUACGGCUGGAAGUUCUAUCGAAGCCAGAGGAGGAGAAAUUCUUGGGUCUAGCAGACUGAAUUCAUCUCAGAGAUGGGAAAUGAAGAGCAAAAAGGAGUCAUGUUCCCACAUCAUCCCUGUGGAGAAUGCAAAAGCUGUGGCCUCACCCUUCAUCUUUGUAGACACCAUAUGGGAUCAAUCUUGGUGACAAUGAUAAGUUCUUGGUGACUGUGAUAUUUCCCUUUAAGAUUCUUGGGAUUUGACAUGGGACUAGGGUGGCAUGAGAGGGUGGAGGAGGGGGAGGGAGAGAAAGGGAUCAUUGGGGAUGAAAGAGGAUAAUGAAUAUCAAACAAACCACAAGAAGAAGAAAAGAUUGGAUUCCCCAGAAACAAGUAAGUUAGGGAAACCUCCCUAAAUGUGCCGCCCUUAAUUUAAGGUAGUAGAGAAGAGGUUUCCUUUGUGCUUUCUGAAGGCUGGAAUAAGUUCUGAUGGAUACUCUUAUAAAUAAUACUGUGAUUCUUAAUUUCUCAACUUGCUUGGGCUUGCCACUCAAGCAGGACACCUAAGAUGAAGUUGGUAUGUGUGCUAUUCCAAUUUACAAGAACAAUCAUGAAGGAAAGAGCACAGUAUUAGAAGACUGAGGGUGUGGGCUCCUGCGGACAAUCAAAUAGCAUCUCCGGACAUAUUUUCUAAUCUGUGAAAUGAGAGUGUUGGGUCAGAUGAUCCAUCAGAAUCCUCUGAGCUCUGGAAACUCCGAUUUAACAUUCUAGAGGUUUAUUUUAUGUUUACCUUUGCCAUGGUUUGGAUAUGAGGUGUCCUCGCAAAGCUCUUGUGUAAGACAAUGCAAGAAUGUUCAGAGGUGAAAUGAUUCUAUUAAGAGAGAUAUAACCUAAUCAGUGAAUUCAUCCACUUGAAUGGAUUAAUUGGGUGGUACAUGUAGGUAGGUAGGAUGUGGUUGGAGGGAAUAAGUCACUGGGGGUUUACUUUGGGGGUUUUAUUUUGUCCCCAGUGAGCAGGUAUCUCUACUUCUGGAUGUCAUGUCCUGAGCUGCUUUCUUCUGCCAUGAUGUUCUGCCUCACUUUGUGCCCAGAGCCAUGGCCUUGGCCAACCAUGGACUGAACCUCUGAAAUCAUAAUCCAAAAUAAACCUUUCCUCCUCUAA